rnacentral:misc_RNA from 1 species
AGCAGCCGCGGUAAUUCCAGCUCCAAUAGCGUAUAUUAAAGUUGUUGCAGUUAAAAGCUCGUAGUUGAAUUUCGGGAUUGGCGCAUCGGUCGUGCCUCACGGGGUAUGAACUGGUGCAGUCAAUUUCUCACCUUCUGGAGAACCGCGAUGUCCUUAAUUGGAUGCCGCGGGGAACCAGGACCUUUACUUUGAAAAAUUAGAGUGUUUAAAGCAGGCAUUUUUGCUUGAAUACAUUAGCAUGGAAUAAUAAAAUAGGACGGCAUGGUUCUAUUUUGUUGGUUUCUAGGACCACCGUAAUGAUUAAUAGGGAUAGUUGGGGGCAUUAGUAUUCAAUUGUCAGAGGUGAAAUUCUUGGAUUUAUUGAAGACUAACUACUGCGAAAGCAUUUGCCAAGGAUGUUUUCAUUAAUCAAGAACGAAAGUUAGGGAUCGAAGACGAUCAGAUACCGUCGUAGUCUUAACCAUAAACUAUAGCCGACUA